ACGAACGCUGGCGGCGUGCUUAACACAUGCCAGUCGAACGGAAAGGCCCUGCUUUUGUGGGGUGCUCGAGUGGCGAACGGGUGAGUAACACGUGAGUAACCUGCCCUUGACUUUGGGAUAACUUCAGGAAACUGGGGCUAAUACCGGAUAGGAGCUCCUGCUGCCUGGUGGGGGUUGGAAAGUUUCGGCGGUUGGGGAUGGACUCGCGGCUUAUCAGCUUGUUGGUGGGGUAGUGGCUUACCAAGGCUUUGACGGGUAGCCGGCCUGAGAGGGUGACCGGCCACAUUGGGACUGAGAUACGGCCCAGACUCCUACGGGAGGCAGCAGUGGGGAAUAUUGCACAAUGGGCGGAAGCCUGAUGCAGCAGCGCCGCGUGCGGGAUGACGGCCUUCGGGUUGUAAACCGCUUUCGCCUGUGACGAAGCGUGAGUGACGGUAAUGGGUAAAGAAGCACCGGCUAACUACGUG
rnacentral:rRNA from 1 species